AGGGGUGUAGCUCAGAGGUAGAGCGCUUGCUUCGCAAGUGAGAAGUCCCGGGUUCGAACCCUGGCACCUCCA
rnacentral:tRNA from 1 species